rnacentral:piRNA from 1 species
UACUUCAAAAGUGAGGUCGUCUAUAAA